GUGGUCCUCAAAUUAAUUAUCCAGGACAACAUUUGCUUGGCAUAGAACACUUCCCUGAAAACUUCCCUCGCGUAAGACAGCUGCUUCCAUCUGAACACUGGCAUAAUCAAGGGGCCCGUAUGACGCAUAUGGAUUACGACUAUUAUGGUCAAUACAGCUCAUGUGCAUCUAGUCCCCAACAUUUUCUAAGCACACAGUUGUCUACAAGGGGCG
rnacentral:misc_RNA from 1 species